rnacentral:rRNA from 1 species
GUCUAUGGCCAUACCACCCUGAAGAUGCUCAAUCUCUUCUGAUCUCAGAGGCUAUGCAGGGUCGUGCCUGGUUAGUACUUGGCUAGAAACUGGACACUGGUACUCCAUGAGUU